UGUUUCUGGAGCUCUGCAGCGGAGCAGAGUCGGGUCUGGACUUGGACAAAGGACGCAAUCUCGGGUCUCAAGACGUAAUCCGGUCUGUCUCCUGUUGCGACCUCGCUCGGCCCUCCGACGCCAAAGGGUACCUCGACGUAAAUCUCUCAUCUUUCUUGUGCUUUUUGCGCCUUUUUUCAGUCACUCGCGAUCGUACGGUGUUAUUGUCAAUUGGGAUUCUCGCUUUUUGAUUUCUAAAAUCGAAUAUCAUAUGGAGCAUCUACGCAUAUGUACUUGUUUUAUUUGUAGGAAGAGGUUGGAUAUCCACGGUGAGUUGGACAAUUAGUUUAUGAAUGAUUUGUUCUUCGAAAUAGCAGGCAACAGCUUGUUAUCGAAGGAGGUAUUUUCGUCUUAAGAGAUCUUGACGAGCUGAUAGAUUUACUUCGUUACUCGAGAGGCCUUGUCUGAAAUGUUCUCGUCCUCACAGGAGAAGAUCUGGGAAAAGAAGAAAGAGGAGAUCGAGGAAGCUGAGCGGAUCAAACGAAGCAAAGCGGUCACGAUCUUUGACUUGGUUCGUCGCAAGUUAAGUACAUUCUUUUCAGGAAGUUUAAUGAAUCUGUCUAAUUACACAUGACUUUAAUCUCACCGACUUCCUCGUCUAGAAAAACAAAAGAAAAACGAGUGGGCAUGUCUGAUUUUGCUAUGCAUACCAGCAGCACAAACAUAUAGUGAGAGCCCUUCAGAUUGUUGUGCUCUGUUUGCAUGACACUCAGCAUUUUUGUGGAUUUACAUCUCAAUGGCUGGCAGCUGGUAUUGGUGAAUGAUGAGUUCUGAUGGAAAGUUUAGUUAUGCG
rnacentral:lncRNA from 1 species